UGAAUGCAUCUUGGCAACAGGUUGAAUUUCACUUACCUGGAAUUCCCUUAACUUCAAAGGCUUGUUCUUUGCUGACGCUUGGUUCCCCUGUCAUCAAUUGGAGCACAGAAUUCCCACAACUCCCAAAUCCACUCCAAGAAACUUACUCAGUCAAGGUUAUAGAACUCCAGGGAGCUGCAAAUUUCCGAGUCUGCCUGGCUCCGCGUGGCUCUUCUAACAUCUACUAACAUUUCAGGAGACAACACUCAUAAUUUGAGUCACUCAUGAUUUGAGAAACCACGAAGCAGGGACACGCUAGACAGCUCCAGAAUGGCCAUAGCAUUAGCUUUUUGGAUUGACUCAUUGCCCUACCCUAUCAGCGAGGCAAGGUGACUGGAAAUGGUGGCCAAUGGGAGAAAAGGAG
rnacentral:lncRNA from 1 species